GACCCUGUCAAUGUGAACCAGGAAUUCUGUUCCUCACUGUAGCUGCCUGACCCGCGCGGAACUUCCCUCAUUGUUCUGCACUUAUUUCCAGCCUUGUUUGGAUUGACCUGUGACUCUGAUAGUCAUUGUCUCUGAUGCUCAUUGUUCAAAUGUAACACUGGUUUCUCCUUCCAGAGCUGGAACGGCGCAAAUCCAUCGUAGAAAAUGAGUGGAAAAGGAUACGAGGCCACCAAGUCUCCGUCACCCUGGAUGUGGAAA